CUGAAGGCAGACGCCCAACCGACUGAGCCUCCCAGGGAACUGGAUUCUGGUCUCACUGAAUCUGUGUCUGCACUAAUCUGGACAGCCCCGCCCUCCAGUCAGAGGUACCUGAGUUGAAAAUAGUAUCUAAUCAGCCACAUGCCAAGUGCAGCCAAGAAUAUGGCCAGGUGUGUUGAACCAACGAGAUUGGAACUGUCAGCUCUCAGGAGGAAGCCCCGACAAACCUGGUCAGUAUUGGAUUUACUGAGGAUGUCAAGAAAGGUGCCCUUGGCAGAACUGGUAGAACUUUAGCAAAAACCAGUGAUCCUCUCAAGGCAUCGCCAGUAUCUGCACUGGGGCCCUUUCCUAUGAGAUCCCCGGCCCCUUGUUUCUCACACCUUCCUCCUGAAAGACAGAGUGACUCCUAUAAGAAGAAUGAUUUGUUUCCUUCACUGGUUCCUAGGUUAUAUCUCCUUCACUCUCCUUUCUUGGCUGAGGUCUCUGGCACGUGGAGAAGCAGGAAGGGUUCCUUGUGAAGGAUGCUCACCACAUUUCUGCGGGGAGAGCUUUCCCUAUCUGCUGUAAAGAUCAUAUGGCUUCAGCUGCUGAUACUGAGUCAUUUAAGAACCCCACUGCGUCUAAGCCCAAAAAAGAAUAUCCCCCCUUACCCCACCCCCCGGAUACCAAAGAUUGCAAAUGACAUGCCAUGUCUUCCAAGACACUUCUUUCACUGUUCUGGUGCCCCAUGAUCUCUCAUUUUUCUGCUUCUUUUGGGGUUAGGACUUAUCUGCUAAGUGAUAAUAUCAUUGACAUUUUUGUGUUAGAGGAUUUUUAAAAAAACCUAGCUUGCCUUAAUGAGAUUAAGGAAGGUAUGACAGUCUCUUUUGAAAUGUCCCUUACAGGGGUGCCUGGGUGGCUCAGCUGGUUAAACAUCUGCCU